AAACUUUAGUUAGUUAUAGUUCUUAUUAAAGUGCUGCUUGGUCCAUAGGUAUAUAUUAAUAGUAAUACCAUGGAACUGAAUGGCAUUUAAAGCCAUUUGGUGUUUUAGAGCAAGGAAAAAAUUGAUAUUGUAUUAUUAUACACGGAAAAGUGAUUCCACUCUUCGCGAAUCUAUUUAGUAUUUACAUCCUCAAAUAAUUUCUUCCUGAGGAUUUGUUGGACUUUCUUUCUUUAUCCUUCAUCAUUGUCAUCUGACCUCCUUCUCAUCUCUCCCUUCUUCUUCAAUGUCAACCCACACAAAUACUUCAGCUUCAUUAGCGUCAAAUAUUGAUGACGGAGGAUGUGAGGAACUCUGUGAGCUUAGUAACAAUGAUUGGUGUCUCAACUUUCGUCUUGGUCUCAAUUGAAAAAUGUCGGAGCAACAAAAUAAAAGACAACGUGUGGGCGAUCUUCUCCACGCCGGUAGCAGUUCCGACAAGGCUGCAGAGACACCUGACAUCCCCUUCCGUACUCCCUACAGCAUCAUAAAGUCCAAGAUAGCCCCAUACAGCCAAAAAGAAUCAAAACUUCUACAGUAACAAUAAGGGUGACUUUUGGGCGGCCUCCAUGUGUCCCUGAUCACCCCCGAACUCAACCCCGCUGAUCUUUUCAAUUUGGAGCGUCGUGAAGAAAAUUGUCUGCCCCACAUUUUAUCAAAAUUUGGAUUUGCUCCGAGCUAUCUUCAUGAAUCGCUAUGGACACAACACUUAUCGUCAAGAGCUACCAAAUUUUUUGCCAGCGU
rnacentral:lncRNA from 1 species